GACGAACGCUGGCGGCGUGCCUAAUACAUGCAAGUCGAACGAGAGCGACCGGUGCUUGCACUGGUCAAUCUAGUGGCGCACGGGUGAGUAACACGUGGGUAACCUGCCCAUCAGAGGGGGAUAACAUCCGGAAACGGAUGCUAAAACCGCAUAGGUCUUCGAACCGCAUGGUUUGAAGAGGAAAAGAGGCGCAAGCUUCUGCUGAUGGAUGGACCCGCGGUGCAUUAGCUAGUUGGUGAGGUAACGGCUCACCAAGGCCGUGAUGCAUAGCCGACCUGAGAGGGUGAUCGGCCACAUUGGGACUGAGACACGGCCCAAACUCCUACGGGAGGCAGCAGUAGGGAAUCUUCCGCAAUGGACGCAAGUCUGACGGAGCAACGCCGCGUGAGUGAAGAAGGUGUUCGGAUCGUAAAACUCUGUUGUUAGAGAAGAACAAGUGCUAGAGUAACUGUUAGUGCCUUGACGGUAUCUAACCAGAAAGCCACGGCUAACUACGUG
rnacentral:rRNA from 1 species